GGGCUCACACAAGCGGUGGAGCAUGUGGCUUAAUUCGAGGCUACGCGAAGAACCUUAUCCCGGACUUGACAUGUCCGAAAGGGGUAGGAAGUAGGGGACGGAAACGCACCCCCAACGGUAUCCAGUCCGGAACCUACCACAGGUGCUGCAUGGCUGUCGUCAGCUCGUGUCGUGAGAUGUUGGGUUAAGUCCCGUAACGAGCGAAACCCCUGUCCCUAGUUGCUAACAGGUUAUGCUGAGGACUCUAGGGAGACUGCCGGUGUCAAACCGGAGGAAGGCGGGGAUGACGUCAAGUCCUCAUGGCCUUUAUGUCCGGGGCUGCACACGUGCUACAAUGCCGCGCACAGAGGGAUGCCAACCCGCGAGGGGGAGCCAAUCCCAAAAAACGCGGCCCAGUUCAGAUUGCAGGCUGCAACUCGCCUGCAUGAAGUUGGAAUCGCUAGUAAUCGCAGGUCAGCAACACUGCGGUGAAUGUGUUCCUGAGCCUU
rnacentral:rRNA from 1 species